UACGGAGGGUGCAAGCGUUGUCCGGAUUUAUUGGGUUUAAAGGGUGCGUAGGCGGCUAAUUAAGUCAGUGGUGAAAGCCUGUAGCUCACCUAUAGAACUGCCAUUGAUACUGGUUAGCUUGAGUACGGUAGAGGUAAGCGGAAUGGAUGGUGUAGCGGUGAAAUGCAUAGAUAUGAGACAGAACACCGAUUGCGAAGGCAGCUCACUAAACUGUAACUGACGCUGAGGCACGAAAGCGUGGGGAGCGAACAGG
rnacentral:rRNA from 1 species